CUUUGUGUUUAAUUUUUUCUUCUUUUAGACAAACUGCGUGACACAUUUUCUUUUAUUUGACAAUACAGGACAUGUUUUAAAGACUGGCACACGACCAAAGUUCAACAGAAAUGAUCUCAGAGUUUGCUCUUCUGGCCUCAACACGUACGUUUGUUUUUUUAAGCUACAGUAACAUCAUUAAAAACAACCUGUAACUGAAAUGUUGGACACUU